GCAAGUCGAGCGGUAACAGGAAUUAGCUUGCUAAUUCGCUGACGAGCGGCGGACGGGUGAGUAAUGCCUAGGAAAUUGCCCUGAUGUGGGGGAUAACCAUUGGAAACGAUGGCUAAUACCGCAUACGCCCUACGGGGGAAAGGAGGGGACCUUCGGGCCUUCUGCGAUUGGAUGUACCUAGGUGGGAUUAGCUAGUUGGUGAGGUAAUGGCUCACCAAGGCGACGAUCCCUAGCUGUUCUGAGAGGAUGAUC
rnacentral:rRNA from 1 species